rnacentral:rRNA from 1 species
GACGAACGCUGGCGGCGUGCUUAACACAUGCAAGUCGAACGGAAAGGCCCUGCUUUUGUGGGGUGCUCGAGUGGCGAACGGGUGAGUAACACGUGAGUAACCUGCCCUUGACUUUGGGAUAACUUCAGGAAACUGGGGCUAAUACCGGAUAGGAGCUCCUGCUGCAUGGUGGGGGUUGGAAAGUUUCGGCGGUUGGGGAUGGACUCGCGGCUUAUCAGCUUGUUGGUGGGGUAGUGGCUUACCAAGGCUUUGACGGGUAGCCGGCCUGAGAGGGUGACCGGCCACAUUAGGCCUGAGAUACGGCCCAGACUCCAACGGGAGGCAGCGGUGGGGAAUAUUGCACAAUGGGCGGAAGCCUGAUGCAGCAACGCCGCGUGCGGGAUGACGGCCGUCGGGUUGUAAACCGCUUUCGCCUGUGACGAAGCGUGAGUGACGGUAAUGGGUAAAGAAGCACCGGCUAACUACGUG